rnacentral:rRNA from 1 species
GACGAACGCUGGCGGCGUGCCUAAUACAUGCCAGUCGAACGCUGAAGGAGGAGCUUGCUUCCCUGGAUGAGUUGCGAACGGGUGAGUAACGCGUAGGUAACCUGCCUGGUAGCGGGGGAUAACUCUUGGAAACGAUAGCUAAUACCGCAUAAGAGUAGAUGUUGCAUGACAUUUGCUUAAAAGGUGCAAUUGCAUCACUACCAGAUGGACCUGCGUUGUAUUAUCUAGUUGGUGGGGUAACGGCUCACCACGGCGACGAUACAUAGCCGACAUGAGAGGGGGGUCGGCCACACUGGGAAUGAGACACGGCCCAGACUCCUACAGGGGGCAGCAGUAGGGAAUCUUCGGCAAUAGGCGGGAGUCUGACCGAGCAAAGCCGCGUGAGUGAAGAAGGUUUUCGGAUCGUAAAGCACUGUUGUAAGAGAAGAAAGAGUGUGAGAGUGGAAAGAUCACACUGUGACGGUAUCUUACCAGAAAGGGACGGCUAACUACGUG